rnacentral:rRNA from 1 species
UACGUAGGUGACAAGCGUUAUCCGGAAUUAUUGGGCGUAAAGCGCCCGCAGGCGGCUGUUCAAGUCUGACGUGAAAUCGCUCGGCUUAACUGGGCGGGGUCGUUGGAAACUGAGUAGCUUGAGGCAAGGAGAGGGGCGUGGAAUUCCCGGUGUAGUGGUGGAAUGCGUAGAUAUCGGGAGGAACAUCAGUGGCGCAAGCGGCGCCCUGGCCUUAGCCUGACGCUCAGGGGCGAAAGCGUGGGGAGCGAACGGG